rnacentral:rRNA from 1 species
AUUGAACGCUGGCGGCAGGCCUAACACAUGCAAGUCGAGCGGAUGAAGGGAGCUUGCUCCUGGAUUCAGCUGCGGACGGGUGAGUAAUGCCUAGGAAUCUGCCUGGUAGUGGGGGAUAACGUCCGGAAACGGGCGCUAAUACCACAUACGUCCUGAGGGAGAAAGUGGGGGAUCUUCGGACCUCACGCUAUCAGAUGAGCCUAGGUCGGAUUAGCUAGUUGGUGGGGUAAAGGCCUACCAAGGCGACGAUCCGUAACUGGUCUGAGAGGAUGAUCAGCCACACUGGAACUGAGACACGGUCCAGACUCCUACGGGAGGCAGCAGUGGGGAAUAUUGGACAAUGGGCGAAAGCCUGAUGCAGCCAUGCCGCGUGUGUGAAGAAGGUCUUCGGAUUGUAAAGCACUUUAAGUUGGGAGGAAGGGCAGUAAGUUAAUACCUUGCUGUUUUGACGUUACCAAAAGAAUAAGCACCGGCUAACUUCGUG